UGAGGAUAUAGCUCAGUUGGUAGAGUGCUUGCCUUGCAUGCAUAAGGCCCUGGGUUCAACCCCCAGCACCACAA
rnacentral:tRNA from 1 species